GUUAAUAUCACCAACCAUUCCCAUUUUAUUAAGGUGUAUCCAUAUAAAUGGCCCACCCUGUAGAUUAAAUAUAACCGAGCGAAGCCAGGUCCUUCAGCUAGUAAUUAAAAUGGUAAAUCAGUCAAUAUUAAUUGUUCUGAAAGGGUUGUCUCAUGGGGUUGUCAUAAAGACUUGUUAGGCACCUCAUUGUAGUAGCCAUUUCAGAGUACCACUAAAAAAGAACAGCUCUUACAGACCUGAGCUAUCCAUGUGUGACAUAGCUAACCAUUCAUUUGUAUCACCCGAAUUUAACACUGUAUUUAUCCCUGCUGGCUGCUUCAGGGGAAAUGUAUGACCAGCAACAACUUAUGAACCUGGCUCACUGAUGAUCUAGACCAACUCCUGUUUUAAAAGAGUUUAUCUUGUUGAGACAACCCUCUAAAGCAGGCAUCCUCAAACUGCGGCCCUCAAGCUGUUGUAAAACUACAACUCCCAUAAUGCCCUGCUGUAGGCUGAUACCUGUAGGCUGUUCAGGCAUGCUGGGAGUUGCAGUUUUGCAACAGCUGGAGGGCCGCAGUUUGAGGAUACCUGCUCUAAAGAAGUAUGCAAGUUUGGGCCUUAAAGUUAACUAUUUCUUUUUCUUUUUUUCUAAAAUAAAUUUAUUUUAUAUGACACCAUAAAACAAUUUAUUUCUUAAUUUCAUCAUAAUUUUUAUUUGUGAUAAAUGCCAAAUUAAUAUAAGUUAUUACUGAUUAGUGACUGGGAACAAUUUCAUUAAGACCCCAUGUGCAUUUCACUUCUUACCUACAGACUUUUUUUUGCCUGUAUUCCUGGCCAUUCCCCUACUUUUGAUGUCAAAUCUUUAUUAAGCACACUAAAUCAACAAUUUUAGUACUGUUCCUGGGCUAGCCCCUCUUUUAGUGAUUUUAGUGGAAGGUCUUAGUGUCAUACUCCACCUCCCUCCUGUAGUGUAUUAACAUUUAUAAUGUGAGGGGUGGUGCAUGACUGUCAUGAGUUUAGGAUUUUAGAUGGCUUUAGUAAAUGAAUCCAUCAGAAUUAAUGAAACAGUGAAGUUGAGGUCAAUAACAUUCCAGAAUAUUUUUUGUUUUAUUUUUGUAAGAAAAAUAGGGUUAAAAAUAACAAAUACCCAUUACUCACCUCACUGAUCCCCUGCCACUGCCAUUACAAUGCUGCUCUGGUCUCAGUGACCUGUCUAUGAAAGUAAAAUCAGUGAGCAUGCUUAUACCUUCAAAGGGUGGUGAGAUGUUUAGAAAUGAGGUACUGUCCUCUAUGUCCAUAUUAAAGUGAUUUUCUGAUUACUUUACAAAUUUUCCCAGUGCAAGGAAUGGACAUAUAUAAUUAUGGUAACAUGGGGAAAGCAGGUUGAAAAUUGAGUUUAUUCCCACCUGAACAUUUAAAUUUAAUUUUGUAAAAUCUUAAAGGGGUUAUCACAUUACAACGUACCAAGUUUCCAAAAAACAAGGAAUACGUGUCUGAUCUGCUGCAGUCCAACUGCUGGGACUCCCACUGAUUAAUACAACAGGGCUUAUGUGCCCCAGUUUGAAUGGAGUAGCACACUGGUUGGGAAACACUGGAGUAGUGGACAUUGUGUGUGUGCUUCUACUCCAUUCAAGUCUGUGGGACUGCUGGAAAGAGAUGAGUACAGGUGUUUGGUUAUCUCUGGCAGCUCCAUGUAGUUGAAUAGAAAAGUAGCAGCACACAUGCCUGUCCACUACUCCAUUCCAGUGAUUAUCGGGCACCCCUGUGGUUGGACCUCUGCCGAUCAAACACUUAUCCCCUAUCCUGCGGAUGGGACAAACCCUUUAAGUGUUAAGCACAAGAGUUAUAAUGUGAAAUAUUUCCCUACUAAAGGAUAAUAUACAAAAACCUUACUCAUUUGUGUCAAUAUGUGCCUAAUAGUCAUAUUUUAAGAGAUUAUGCAGUUAAUUAUGAAAAAGAAGUAGAUGUAUGAAAUUACAGUAAAAGGGUCAACCAUACUUGUAUAUGUUGCUACACUUUUAUUUUAUUGUGUUGUUUCCUUUUUACUACCAUGUAGUAGAAUAUUAAUCUAUUAAUGCCUGUUAUUUUUUAAUAGUGUAAAGAUUAGUACUAGUCAGUUCGUUUUCAGCUUCCACACUGACGUGUAUUCAUUCCUUACUGUACAGUGUAAUUAUUCUUUAGUCAGUUAUUGCUAUACUGUUUUGUGUUAGCCAUAGUGCACUGUGGCUAGUAAGGCCUUCCAUGUACAUAUUUAUUUAUUGUUUUUUUUUUAUGUGUCAUUUGAUGUUUGUUUCUAUAAGCUUCAACAUAUUCAGAACACAUAGUCAUGUCGUGCUGUUGUAUAAAAGAGCAGAGUGUGGUAUUUGAUAAGGUCAUGGGGAGAUAGUGCCUUUUACUAUAUCGCAUGUGCCUUUCACUGUAAUACUGAAAUACAGUUAAUGUGUGAAGCUUUUUUUCAUUUAGAUGAUGUGAUGUAUAGCUUGUUCUAAACUGAAAAUUGUUAUAAUUUGAAAUAAAUACACAUUUCUUUAAA